CUUCUUAAUGGCUGAUAAAGAAACUACAGUUGAUUUUGAGUGAUUUCGGUUGUAUUGUCAUACACACAGAAGUUUUAGGGAAAUAUUGACAUCCAUGUAUGAUGAGCUGCUGUCCUCCGUGCUCCCUCCGCCUAUCUGCUUGAGGAUGACUCCACCGUUCUCAAGAUGUGGGAUGUAGAACAAUCUGAUGAACCAGACGCUGAUGAUUUAUCACUUCGUUUCCUCUCCGUUAGUGACAAUUCAACAGUUGCCACGUUCUUCUGCUCAGAGAAGACUGAAUUUGUACUUUGGGUAACAUAGUUAACGAUUUCCCCACAUUGGCUCAUGCAUUUGUCAUGCUUUUUGGACUAACGUACGCCUUGGAUCUAAGUUCCCUAAAAGAGUUGGACAAUACAUUUGACUUUACCCACAAAUUCGUGAUGGGUCUGGAGGAUGGGAAGCUGAGACCCAGAAUGUUGAGUCUUAAAAAUUAACUUUUGUCAGUAGAGUUUCCUCAGUGUU